AGCGAACGUUUGCGGCGGGCUUAACACAUGCAAGUCGAACGAGAAUCCCUUCGGGGAGGAAAGUGGCGCACGGGUGCGUAACACGUGGAUAACCAACCCAUUGGUUUGGGACAACACCGGGAAACUGGUGCUAAUACCAGAUGUGUCGCAGCUGUCUUCAGGCGGUUGCGAGAAAGGCCCGCAAGGGUCGCCAACGGACGGGUCCGCGUCCCAUCAGCUAGUUGGUGAGGUAAUGGCUCACCAAGGCAAAGACGGGUAGCUGGUCUGAGAGGAUGAUCAGCCACACUGGAACUGAGACACGGUCCAGACUCCUACGGGAGGCAGCAGUGGGGAAUAUUGGACAAUGGGGGCAACCCUGAUCCAGCAAUGCCGCGUGUGUGAAGAAGGCCUGAGGGUUGUAAAGCACUUUCAGUGGAGAGGAGGGUUGAUAGGUUAAGAGCUAAUUAACUGGACGUUACCCACAGAAGAAGCACCGGCUAACUCCGUGCCAGCAGCCGCGGUAAAG
rnacentral:rRNA from 1 species